UACGUAGGGUGCGAGCGUUGUCCGGAAUUAUUGGGCGUAACGAGCUCGUAGGCGGUCUGUCGCGUCGGCUGUGAAAACCCGGAGCUCAACUCCGGGCCUGCAGUCGAUACGGGCAGGCUUGAGUUCGGUAGGGGAGACUGGAAUUCCUGGUGUAGCGGUGAAAUGCGCAGAUAUCAGGAGGAACACCGGUGGCGAAGGCGGGUCUCUGGGCCGAUACUGACGCUGAGGAGCGAAAGCGUGGGGAGCGAACAGG
rnacentral:rRNA from 1 species